rnacentral:lncRNA from 1 species
GCUGGUCACCCGCGUCGUUUCGAGGGUUCGAAAACGACGGGUGAGCGACGGUGGAGUUCCGGUGCGGUUUUCGGGACUUCCGGCUUGUUCGGUAAUCGGUUUUGGUAAACCGGUUCUCGUGGUUCUGGUGAGUGGGGAUUGUGUGUUAGCGAGUCAUGUUAGUGGGUUAGAUUCUAACCCGUUGGACCUUUCGUAGGUUCGAUUGUUCCG